rnacentral:ribozyme from 21 species
UUUUUUUUUUUUUUUUUCUUUUUCUUUUGGUUUUUGUUUCUUACUGUCGUUUCGUGAAAAGGCGGGUCUAGCUGAGGGGCGG